UGGUAUCUUCGUCAUGGAGUCAUUCUUACUAAAGCUAACGUUAUUAAGAGAAAUUGGCAUGGAAGUCCGCAGUGUGUCUUUUGUCACCAUGAUGAGACAAAACAUUUAUUCUUCCAAUGAAAAUUGGCUCGUUCUAUAUGGUCAGUCAUCCAGAUAGCCUCUGGCUUGUAUCCUCCUUGUAGUGUUGCUAAUGUAUUUGGCAAUUGGUUACAUGGGAUAGAUUACAAGUACAGAACUAUUUUUAGGGUGGGAGAGCUUGCCGUUAUUUGGUCGCUUUGGCUAUGUAGAAAUGAUAAGGUGUUUGACAAUAAAAGUACUUCUCUGAUGCAGGUUAUCUAUAGAUGUACCAGGACUCUUCGUUUAUGGUCCUCUCUACAACGUGUGGAGAAUCGAGACCUGUUUACGGAGGUGUGUACACAAUUGGAGGAUAUGUUGAGGCAUACUUUUACACAACGUGGGUGGCAGCAUGAUCUUAGGAUUGGAUCACCUUCGCUUUAG
rnacentral:rRNA from 1 species